rnacentral:misc_RNA from 1 species
CCUCCGUUGGUGAACCAGCGGGGGGAUCAUUACAGAGUUGCAAAACUCCCAAACCAUUGUGAACGUUACCUAUCCCGUUGCUUCGGCGGGCGGCCCGGGCCCCGCGCCCGGCGCCCCCCGGCCCCCCGUGGGCGCCCGCCGGAGGUAAACCAAACCCUUGAAUUGCAUGGCCUCUCUGAGUCUUCUGUACUGAAUAAGUCAAAACUUUCAACAACGGAUCUCUUGGUUCUG